CCUACGGGAGGCAGCAGUAGGGAAUAUUGCUCAAUGGGGGAAACCCUGAAGCAGCAACGCCGCGUGGAGGAUGACGGUUUUCGGAUUGUAAACUCCUUUUGUUAGAGAAGAUAAUGACGGUAUCUAACGAAUAAGCACCGGCUAACUCCGUGCCAGCAGCCGCAGUAAUACGGAGGGUGCAAGCGUUACUCGGAAUCACUGGGCGUAAAGAGCGCGUAGGCGGGAUAGCAAGUCAGAUGUGAAAGCCUAUGGCUUAACCAUAGAACUGCAAUUGAAACUGUUAUUCUAGAGUAUGGUAGAGGUAGGUGGAAUUCGUGGUGUAGGGGUAAAAUCCUUAGAGAUCAAGAGGAAUACUGAUUGCGAAGGCAACCUGCUAGAACAUAACUGACGCUGAUGCGCGAAAGCGUGGGGAGCAAACAGGAUUAGAUACCCCAGUAGUC
rnacentral:rRNA from 1 species